rnacentral:lncRNA from 1 species
GAACGUUAAAUUUACCUACGAGACUAACAUCAACGAAAAAUUCAGCAAAAUGAAUAUUUACCUAUGAGACUACACAUUCACAAACAUAUAACCAAACACAAAGUUACCCACACAGAUCAUACCAGUGAUUUUCUGUGGGUAUGUUCAGAAAUCAGAAACUCUCCAAAAUUGCUUUCUUCGAGUUUGCAAAUUUGGAGAUGGGUUUAUCCAUAAACCAAACAUAUAUAAAUUAUCCAAAGCUUCUUCAGCUACGGGUCAAGUUAGGGCAUACAAAAAGGGGUUGCAGAGUAGAGAGCCAGCACAUCUAGGUUACGGGGAUGAAUAAUGAAAUUUCAUGAUCAACCCGCAAACACAAGGUAGCAAUUCAUCCAAUACUGACAACGUUUAAUGGGAAUUAGCAAAAAACCAUUUCAGCAAGAUUUUUCAUUCGAGAGAGGUAUGAUAGACAAUAUAUAUAUUUACUACUUAUCUAAUUUGCUAACGUAUUAUCCAAACCUUGUGUCCUUGUUCAAUGAUUUUUCUUUUUCUUGAAAAAAGCUUUUUGAAUAAUGUUUUAGGAGAGCGAAUGUAACGAAAUUUUUUUGGAUUUAUUUGUAAAAUAAUUUUUUGAAAAUAAUUAAUAUCAAAAGGAGGCCAUAAUGUUUUGUGGUUCGCAAAUUGAUA